CGUGCCAAGUAACAUAGCGCAGCGCUGUUCCACAGUUGAGGAGCGAGGAUGUCCGGCUCUGACGCACAAGGCUUAUCAGUUAGAGACUUACACCCCUGAUAAGAGGAACUGUCGAGGAGAAUAUGAUGAUUCCUUCGGCGAGCUCAAGGUUACAGUGCAGUGCCAAGACGGGUAUCGUCCAGGUGUGGAGGUGUCGACAGUGAAUCUCACCUGUGAUUUAGAGAACUAUGAGUGGAGGAACGAGAAGGUGGAGGACCCGAGUUACGAUCUUCACUGUGUGUUGGCUGGAACACAUCCUGAAGGCUUCGCUACGCUGGUGUUGGCUGCGAUCUUCCUGCUGCGUCUCGUGUGAGUGCCAGUGAGGUCACGGGUUCGAUUCCCGGUAGGUCAGAGACACCUUGGCAUAUUUCCUUUUACCUGAUGACUCUGUUCACUUAGCUGUAUAUAGGUACCCUAGAGUCACUCAGCUGUUGUGGGUGGCAGCCUGUGUAAAUUUGACAUGAAAGGCCAUUAUGGGAAGUGACUGUUGGGCCAAGAUUUGUCAGGCGUAUAUGCAAUUACUCGCGAAACCGCUACAUCUUUUGUUAAUGAUGGUGGCUUCGUUAACAUUUAUUGAACAGCUUAUAAGAUUAGUAACUUCACAACCUCAGGUUAUUAUUGUUAUAAACAACCUCAAAGUGCUUCGGGGUUCAUAAACUGUGUUAUAAAUCUAUAUAAACCCAUUAUGAUUAGGCAAAGAUGUACAGGUUUCGUAGUUGAAUCCUGGGCCCGGUACUUCAAAUAAUAAUGUACUGUUCAAUAUGGUUAUUAAUAUUGAAAGAAUUAUUAAUUUUAACAGGCCUAAUAAUUUCCUACGUGGCUACCUACUGUAUUUCAAGUGUUGAAAUUGAUAAUUUUGGGUUGAGGAAGGAAAUAUAUAGAUACUCACUGCCACUAUUGUUGAACACUGCCACUAUUGCCUGUGAUGUCUGUCAACUUGUCAAUCAAAAAAUUGUCUCGUUGUCACUGUUAAAAGUACAAUUUAACACGGGCUCAUCAUAGCCCGUGCUACUUGGAACUUUUUGUUCCAAGUAGCGAAUCUUUAACAACAACAACGUACAAUUUAUUUUAAAUAUUUCAGCGGAGCCUGAUAGUCACUUUACCAUAAUACUAUUUAAUUAAACUUUUUUAAACGAAAAAUUUACAUUAACAUAUUUUGUUAUCUUGUAAUUUUAUCAUUUUAUAACAAUUGACUGAAAUUUUAGUAUGAAAUUAAUAAAAUAAAAGGGUAUUACAGCAAAGUUAAUUUCGGACUAUGCUGUAGAUAAAAAUUGGCUCUGUAGUUGAGGAAUUCAAAUUGGGAAGUAAAAUAGAGAUGGAAUAUUACCCGAAAUGUAUCUCUUAAACAAUGGAUACAAAUUGGAUAAGUUUAGAUUCAGGAAAGACCUGGGUAAAUACUGGUUUAAAAAUAAGGUUGUUGAUUUUAUGGAUCAAAUUAUCGGGUAGCAUAAUAGACUUUGGAUCGCAUGGUUGUUUCAUGCGUAGGCUAGACAUACAAGGGUAGUUUAUAUCCAUAUAAAUAUCAAUAUUUAUCAAGGACUCAACCUAUAAAUAGCUUGAGUCCUUUAUUAUUUUCUUAUUACUAAUAUUGGACUCAAUUGAUUUUUUUCAAUAAAGUUAUUUUAUGCUGUUAAAUGUUAGUUAUAGAGAUAAUGAUUUCUCAUUUUAUUGUUGUCAUAUUUAAGUUAAAUCACUCAAAACGUGAUAAAUUCUUAUCUGAUUCAUAUAAAGGUAUUUAUAUAUAGGUUAAGGUAUAGAUUUUCAUGAUUUUGGAAAUGUUCACUAUUAAUUUUAGAUCGUCGUAUAUAAUGCUGUAUUCAAAGCCUUAGUAAAAUGAGUAUUGGUAUAUUAGUUGCAGCCCAUCUGACCUUAAAUUAGUGGUCAGGGUCUUAAACCAGACCACUAAUUUAUAGUUAGCUCGUGCUAAUACUUAACUCUAAUUAACUAUGUUCACUAUUAUUAUUUUUAUUGUGCACAUCACUUGUGAAUGAUCACUUGGAGUUGUAAGUUAGACCUGCACCUUAUCUGUAGUUACUAACAAUUGUAUUUUACUAGUAAUUAUAUUACAAGGUACUUUAUUAAUUUUGUAAAAUAAAUUCUAUUACUUAAUUUGUAGAAUAAAUUGUUACUAAUUAUGUAAAUUAAUACAAUUUGUUAACAAUUGUACGUUACUAGUAAUUAUAUUACAAGGUAUUUUAAUAAUUUGUAGAAUAAAUAAAUAUUAAUUAAAAUG